GUUUCCUAAUACAAUCACGUUACUCAACACUCCCAGUUGAUUGUGUGUCGCCCCAUCUAUGGGCCUUUCGCCGUGCCCGCGAUGCGCCGCGUCCGGGACCGACACAGAGCCUGCACAGGGUGGUAUGAGCGCAUCCAGUGCCUCCUCACCACCCGCCGCCGGUGAGGACUCUAAGGAUGGCUACUGAUGACGGCGACGAGACCCAUCAGAAGUAGUGCAUGCGUGCGGCAUGCCAUUAGAGAAGAAAGGCUCAUGGAUGAAGAACGCUGGCACCAGCCUAUGUGCCACCAGAUGCGUACACAGUUCAUGUGAAGUGACCCCUCAUUGCUUUUACGCUUAUUCAGUGGAUCACCAGUUCACCACCACAGCCAUUGAAGGCGUGCAGAAAUAGCAUUUUUUUUCUUUCUAUUCUCCUCAUUAGAGUUAUUGUCCCUUCCUCUCGACUCAUGCAGAUUCCAGGCAUGGCAGUUGUUUUGUUUGUUCAGAUGCAGGUUCUCUUCUAGGCUUGGUGGUGAAGAAGCCAGCAGCGUUGGUGCACUGUAGCCUACAGGUCAUAGAUGUGAAGAAGCAAGCACGAGGCCCUGCGGUCUAGCAGCAGGACACAAUCAAGUUGUCAUGGAGGACAAAAAGAGGGGUGCAUUGCAAUCUGUAUUUCACUACUAAAUGUGUGACACAAUCUGUUGAGAAACACAUUUAGGUAUGCGUAGUAUACUUCAGUAUAUGCUCAUUUCAUCUGGAGGUACAAUCUCAACUUCUUGAAGCAACAUACAGUACCGGAGGGUGUAACUUUUGGACAUUUACGUCAAAACCUUGGAGAUGAUGGAUGCUCGAUGACUAGCUCUGCAUGCCUUCUAUGAGGUUCAAUGUGAAAUAUUUUUUUCUCCUA